rnacentral:pre_miRNA from 1 species
UCUUAUGUAUGAGUAAAGAAAGUGGCUUCUUGAGAAGGAAUCUAAUCUCGAUGAAGAUGCUAUGGA